rnacentral:rRNA from 1 species
AUAACCCCNGGAAACUGGGGAUAAUACCGGAUAAGCCAUAGACGCUGGAAUGCCCUAUGGUUCAAAGCUCCGGCGCNUAAGGAUGGAUCUGCGGUCUAUCAGGUUGUAGUGGGUGUAACGUACCUACUAGCCGACGACGGAUACGGGUUGUGAGAGCAAGAGCCCGGAGAUGGAUUCUGAGACACGAAUCCAGGCCCUACGGGGUGCAGCAGGCGCGAACACUUUACAAUGCGGGAAACCGCGAUAAGGGAACCCCGAGUGCCAGCAUCAAAUGUUGGCUGUCCAGAUGAUUAAAAAUCAUUUGUUAGCAAGGGCCGGGCAAGACCGGUGCCAGCCGCCGCGGUAACACCGGCGGCCCGAGUGGUAGCCGUUUUUAUUGGGUCUAAAGGGUCCGUAGCCGGCCUGAUAAGUCCUUUGGGAAAUCUGGCAGCUUAACUGUCAGGCUUCUAAGGGAUACUGUCAGGCUUGGGACCGGAAGAGGUAAGGGGUACUCCAGGGGUAGGAGUGAAAUCUUGUAAUCCCUGGGGGACCAUCUGUGGCGAAGGCGCCUUACCAGAACGGGUCCGACGGUGAGGGACGAAAGCUAGGGGAGCAAACCGGAUUAGAUACCCGGGUAGUCCUAGCUGUAAACGAUGCUCGCUAGGUGUCAGACACGGUGCGACCGUGUUUGGUGCCGCAGGGAAGCCGUUAAGCGAGCCACCUGGGAAGUACGGUCGCAAGGCUGAAACUUAA